rnacentral:tRNA from 1 species
AGAGAUGUAGCUCAGUGGUAGAGUUCUUGCCUAGCAGGCACAAGGUCCUGGGUCCAAUCCCCAGCACCACUG